CAUGAUUUCCUAGGCUUAGGAACCAAUACAUUCUUUUGGCUUUGAACUGAAUUUCUAUACUAAUAAAUCUAUAUUUUUCUCAAACAAUGAGAAGGAAAAGGAGGUCUUUCCCAAACUACAACAGAGAAUUAGAAGCCAACUCUAUUAAAAAAUAUGGAUGUGACUGCAACUGGAUAUAGUCGCAGAAGCUGAUGUGUGAAGAAAGAGUGGCCCAUCCUCAAAGGGAGGGCAUGGAAU
rnacentral:lncRNA from 1 species